rnacentral:rRNA from 1 species
GACGAACGCUGGCGGCGUGCCUAAUACAUGCAAGUCGAGCGGAGUUAUGAGGGAGCUUGCUCCCGAUUAGCUUAGCGGCGGACGGGUGAGUAACACGUAGGUAACCUGCCCGUAAGACUGGGAUAACUACCGGAAACGGUAGCUAAUACCGGAUAAUUUAUUUUCUCGCAUGAGAGAGUAAUGAAAGGCGGAGCAAUCUGCCACUUACGGAUGGGCCUGCGGCGCAUUAGCUAGUUGGUGAGGUAACGGCUCACCAAGGCGACGAUGCGUAGCCGACCUGAGAGGGUGAACGGCCACACUGGGACUGAGACACGGCCCAGACUCCUACGGGAGGCAGCAGUAGGGAAUCUUCCGCAAUGGACGAAAGUCUGACGGAGCAACGCCGCGUGAGUGAUGAAGGUUUUCGGAUCGUAAAGCUCUGUUGCCAGGGAAGAACGCUUGGGAGAGUAACUGCUCUCAAGGUGACGGUACCUGAGAAGAAAGCCCCGGCUAACUACGUGCCAGCAGCCGCAGUAACAC